CUCCUGAAACCAAUAUUACCCUAUAUGUUAACUAACAAGAAUUUAAAUAAAAACUUGAAACAGCAAAAAAAAAAAAUGUUACAGCAACAUGUAAGAGCUAGCUUCGUAAAAGCUAGAAUGUUAACAGAUACCUUGCAAAAGUUUCAUGUGCAAUUGCUAAGAUUUAAUUAUUUAAGAUAUUUCUCUUAGUACUUUAAUUAGGCUUCUUUAAAGACCAUGGGUAUUCAUUCAGAGUGAGCCAGAUUGGAACUUUGAGAUUUGGUCAAUGAGAAUAUUUUUCUUAUGUAAGAGCCAGCAGUGUUUGAGGAUGAGUAUGAGAGCAAUGAAUCUUCAAACAGAAGUGAGUUGGUGGGGGGGGGGGGCAUUUUUCCCCUUCACUACCACCUCCAGUAUCGUAGUGGAGGCAGGGGACCGUGUGGUUUGAAAACAAAAUAUCACUUUGUUCCAUUGCUUUGAUUCAGUGAGAAUAACAAAAUUCAUUUUGUUCUGAAUUUUAAAUAACAUUAAAAGAAAGCAUGAGAUUUUGGUAACUUUCAAAAGAGGACAUGAGUUUCAAAAAUGCGAAAAACACUUUGCUAGAGAGAACUUCUCAUUCUUUUUAGAUUGUUUGCCUUCUGAUGUACUAGAUCACAGAAGCAUAGACAUUAGAGUUGCUUCUAGUAGGGUCACUGAGAAAAACAGGGCAUCUCACUUAUUACUGGAAGACUUUUAUAAAAUAAAAUAUAAUGAAAACAUUCAUGCAUAAAUUAAGUUUCUCCAGUAACCAAGGAAUCGAUUUUGAAACCUCUAAGGACAAAUAACGUAGCUUCGGACAAAAGUAGAAUGUUAUCUGAACCAUCUUUAAUCAGCUUAUUUGGACCUUUCUGUGUACAGUUGGGUCAUUUUCUGGUACUUGGUCAUUCUGGUAUUUUUAUGGCUUUUGGUCAGUUUGGUAAUAAUUCAGUAAAGCUCGGUAUUUUCAAACAACUCAUGGUUUCUUCCUGCACAAGGUGGUUUUAUAAUAGGUGUCAAAUUUUUGCAUAGGUCUCUGAUCUUUUCUGCUAUAUUGUGUUAAGUGUGGAUGUAUACUCACCUUCCUUUUCUCUUGUGGAAUUAAGCUGCCUUUUAUAAAAUGGAGGCACCUUAUAAAUAUCUCCAUUCCUGCCCUGUCACUCCUAAUGCCAAUCUGUUUCCUUCACAGUGGGCUAUCACCUGGCUUUUUCUAAAAGGACCAUGCCUUUCCACUCUCCAAUUCAGAAGUAAAAUAAAAUAUGUGAGAGCCAUGUGAUCAGGGAGGGGCAAAGGAAAGAAGUGACAUUUGCUGGGUACCUCUGAUGGUCUGCACAAUGGCUGGGCCUUCCACAUGUGACCUUAUUUCAUCUAGGUAGAUACUAAGGACAUUACAUCCACUGUAUUUAUAUGAUAGUAUCAAUUCAGUUCCAGGCUCUUUGAAGGUACCUUCCAAAGAAAAUUUUUGUGAUUUGGUUUGUGUGUAAUUAAGAGAUAGAAUCUGUUUGUUCUAGUUGUACAUGUACAUGUUGACACGUCAUGGUUGGUUCAUGCAAUGGAGAGUGAGGGGCAGAAUGUCUCCAGAACUGCAUUGUUUCCGGGUGUUGAUACAGUGAGGGCCAUUUGGAUGGCAUAUGGAAAUCCAGAGGCAGCCUAAAUCAGUUCUCAGCUUGGUGGGCGAUGCCUGGUGCCCGAUGACACACUGAAUAGACAAGGAAUAAAUUUCGAUAUUUUAGCCACCUGGUUAACUAGAUGUUAUCUUAAUACUCCUUAGUGCCUUUCCCCAUAUUGACUACAGUUUCCCUUUAAGUCCAUUUGUCACAACAAACCAAGUAAACCCAACUUUAGAGUCCGAGUCUGGCUUGUCAUGAUGUAGGACUAUCGGAAGGGAGAGUAGUAUGGUUCGUGGUUCAGAGCGCUGACUCUGGGGAGAAGCUGCCUGGGUAGGAAUCCUAAUCCUACCAUACACUGCCUUUGUGGCCUUGGAUAAGUUUAUUUAACUGGGAAUAUUCAAUUAUUUUCAGCUGUAAAAUGAGUAUAAUAGUAGCAUCUACAGUUGUACACCUGAAACUUAAAUGUUGUAUGUCAAUUAUACGUCAAUAAGAAAAAUAAUUUAUAAUAACAACAAAAAAAAGUAGCACCUACAAUGCAUGUAAAGUACAAAACAGUGCCUGGUAUGUUUUUAGUGCUCAAUUGGCACUGAUGUAAUAAUAAUGAUAAUAAUAAUAAUAAUAUCAACAACACAAAUUAUUGUUAAAACAAGAGCCUUAAUAAGAAUAAAUCAAUUCUGUGAUUUCAUGGUGGCAAGCUUUGUUAAAAGUGCGUCCUCUUGACUUUCCAUUUAAUGAUAAUUUAUGCAUUUAAUAAUCUUAAUUGUCAGGAAACUUUUCCUUAUUUUUAACCUAAAUCCUGAAUGCUAUAGAUAGGUUCUCAUUCGUCUUGAACUAUCUGUGGAGAUUGUUUUCCUUGGAGUCUUCAUUUUCUAUAAAAUUUUCUCCAUCCUUCCCAGAAGGCCCAAAUUUCAUUAGAUUUUUGGACGACAUGGAAUGUAAGUUUAACCCUUGCAAAAGCCUCAUUUUAGUCUAUUUUGGCACCUCAAAUAAAUUCUUUAGAAGAAAUCUGUGUUCUUUCCUUUCAAUGUUCAUGGUCAUUUUAUAAUGGAAUGAGCCAUAUGGAUCUAAGUGUAUCACAAAAUAAUUCUUGCCAAGGGCAGUUUGCCUGAAAGACAAAGUUAAAUCUAUUUAAUGGAAUAUUUUGGAAAAGAGACAAAGAAAAGUAAUGUUGGUCCAAGAUUUUGUUUUGGGCACAUUUGGGGGACAAAGUUAUUUUACAGGAACCGGUUUUAUUUUUCUUAUUCUUUCCUUAAUGUGGUUGCAUAAUUCAUGUUCAUGUUAAGUGUUAUUAAAAUAAAUGUAACUAUUUUAAAUUUGA